CAGAGACAAGGACCAUGACACCCAGAACCGCGGCCACAGUGCCUGUUGGGGAGGAGUUGGAGCCUGCAACCACAACACAUUUCGAGGAAGUAUCUGGACAUAUGUGGCCUUACGGACAACAUCCACGGCGGUCGAGAAGGAGCCGUAGCGGUAUAUCAUACAGUUGUCAGCCGCUGUAAGUUCAGGAGCCUGUCUUUUAGCCACAACAAGAGCCACCAGUGUCUCUGUGUCUGCCUCUAUCUCAGCCUCUGCUGCUACCUCACUCUCCACUGGAGCAGUCACUGCUGCUGGUGCUGAAGAGUAACAAAAAUACAGUAAGUUAAUAAUAUUAUGAAAUGGCUCAAAUCAUGUUUUUGAUUGUAUACAGAAUGACUAAGUAACUAAGUAACUGAUUACCUGCAGUGGCAUCAGCUGCAACCUCAUUCCCUGUCUCUACGACCUCUGCUUCUAGCUCUGCCUCGGCCUCAAGAGCAAGUUCAGCUGGCACCACCUCCACCACAGCUGCAGCCUCCGUGGCGGCAAGAACAAUUACGUUAGCAGUAGGGGCCACCGUCUCGACCUGGGCCACCUCUGUUGCAGCCGCAACCUCAGCCACCACCUCAGCAUCGGCAGCUACGGUUGCCUCCUCCACGGGUGUAACGGUGGCUACAGCUGGGACCUCUGGGAGGACUGUGGCCGGCAUGUCCACUGUGGACUCUUCUCCCUCUGCAACAGGAGCAACUGAAGCAGCAGCAUUGAUGGCGGGCACAUCUGCAGCUGUCGCCUCUACCACUGCUGUUUCGGCAGCUGCAACUGCAUCAGCAUCAACAGUAGCCUCUUCAGUUGCUGGGGUGACGGAGGCAGCUGUGGCUCCCUCCACAGCUGGCACAGGGGCAGGGACCUCAAUGGCUGCAGCAGCCGUGUCUUCUGCUGUGGCAUCGGCUUCUACUGCAGGGACAGAGGCAGGGUCCUCUGUUGCUGGGAUGACGGCUGGAUCAUCUGCUACUGAGGCAACCACCUCGACUCCCUCUGCAGCUGCGGCUGCGUCGUCAGCUGUGGGUUCUGCUUCAGCUGUGGCACCGGCUUCGACUGCAGUUUCGGCUGCGGCUGUGUCUGUGCUUUCAGCUAUGGCUGGGUUUUCGGCUGCAGCUGCAUCUGUGUCUGCGGCAUCGGCGUCAGCUGCAGCUGUGUCUGCAGCCUCAGCAAAGGCAACGUCAGAGGCAGGCACAUCCAGGGCGAUGUCAGCUGGAGCUGCCCUUGGGGUAGAGACCACCACAACAACGGCAGGAGCACCGGAGGGAUCCAUAGGCAUCACUGGUUGAAAACACAAGAAGAAAGGCAACAGUCAUGACUGUUAUAUACACUGAAUAUGCAUUGACUUUUGUAAAGGGAAGAUUGGACCCAAUAAAUGGAUUCGCUGUAAAAUAGAAAAUCGAUGUCUCUUACCAGUGGGGCUGGCAGCGGUGGGGUCUGCAGGUGUGUCACAGCCAUUGGGGAUGCUUGCCAUCAGGACCACCUGAGGCCUGUAUGUGCCGGUGUUGAGGUAUGUAUGUGUGACCUGGUGCUCCCUGGAGAUGAGGGUGCCACUGUUGUCACCAAAGUCCCAGUUAAAGGUGAUGUCUGAGGCGCUGAGGUACUGGCUGGGGUCGUGGAGGCUGAUGCUAAAGGCAAUGGCCCGAUUCUGGAUGAAGCUCUGGUCAGCCUCGUUCACAUCGUUAAUUUGAGUCAGCGACACUGUGAAGGGGAUCUGGUCUGGGGAGGCACAAAGCAAAGGCAAAAUAUGUCACAUCGUGACAUCAAUGCUGUGAAUGCAAAUUAUUUCAAAUUAUCAAUUGAAGUCAAAUUAGGGUUGAUUGAAUAUUGGUUUAAAUAAGAUUUUGUGCACUUAAACCCUGGUUCCAGCUACCCACCUGUGAUGGAGAAGGUUGUGGAGGCAUAGCCCAGAGGGAUGAACUUGUUCUUGCCACGGUAGUGGUAGAUGACUACCUCCAUGUUGUAAGAGCCCAGGGGCACAUUGUCCGUGCCGAUGGUGAGAGAGGAGGAGGUCCCAUCCGCCACCUGCCAGUAACGUCCUGGGAUACAAAGCAGUGGUGUUAGUAGUUAGAAAAACCAGCAGCGCUUAUAAAAAUGAAUAGCCUGAUGAUCAAAUCUUGUGUUGACAAAACUCCCAAGAACAUUAGCUGCUUCAUUAGUCCUUUCAACCCUCUUAUGAAAUGAAUGAUUUCACAGUGUUGUAAAUACCAGAAAUCAUUGUGUUAUUGUAUUAGCAUUUUCUCACAUGAAUGUCUGUAAAUGAAAGAGCUGUCCUUACCCCAUGUCUUCCACACAAACACGUAGUGUGGUUUCCUGUCUGCUGUCCCAUUGAAGGGGGUGCCAUCAGGGAAGACUCCGCUGUACUCUCCUGAAGGACCAGAGACCUGGUCGGGAUACACAGCCUGGCCUUGACGGUACUGUGUUCCUGUAGCAGAGGAACACGACACCCAGUUCAACAUAAAAGGUUAGGGACACUAGAAAAAGACUGUAUGCCUAUAGGACCAACAAAAAAACUGUGGGAUCAGUGGGGUAUGGUAUAGUGGUUGAAUUUGGAAGAAGAGCUCACCAUUGACAGUGCAGUUACGCGCCCACACCACUUGUCCAUCAGGAAGCACUGUCUGGUUUGAUGGGAAGCGAAGGUCGAUGUUAAAUGUUGCCUUUGCGCCAGUCAGGGUGGGUGCAUCAUUUUUCACAUCGAAUGUAACUUCUCCACCUGAUGACAGAAAGUGAUAAAUACAUCAAUAGAAAGUAGUUAAUGUUUCUAUAUUAAGUGAUUGAUCUAUAAAAAAGUGCAAUAAAGUGAGAACCCACCAGUCCAACA